GAUGAACGCUGGCGGCGUGCCUAAUACAUGCAAGUCGAGCGAACAGACGAGGAGCUUGCGCCUCUGACGUUAGCGGCGGAAGGGUGAGUAACACGUGGAUAACCUACCUAUAAGACGGGGAAAACUUCGGGAAACCGGAGCAAAUACCGGAGAAUAUAUUGAACCGCAUGGGUGGAUGGUGAAAGACGGCGUUGCUGGCACUAAUAGAUGGAUCCGCGCCGCAUUAGCUAGUUGGUAAGUUAAAGGGUUACGAAGGCAACGAGGCGUGGCCGACCUGAGAGGGUGAUAGCCCACACUGGAGCUUGGCCACGGUCCAGACUCCUGCGGUAGGCAGCAGUAGGCAACCUUCCGCAAUGGGCGAAAGCUUUGCGCAGCAACGCCGCGUGAGUGAUGAAGGUCUUCCGUGCGUAAUGCUCUGUUAUUAGUUAAGAACAAAUGUGUAAUUAACCAUGCACGUCUUGACGGUACCUAAUCAGAAAGCCACGGCUAACUACGUG
rnacentral:rRNA from 1 species